UGCAAGUCGAGCGGGGAAGAGUAGCUUGCUACUUUACCUAGCGGCGGACGGGUGAGUAAUGCUUAGGAAUCUGCCUAUUAGUGGGGGACAACAUCUCGAAAGGGAUGCUAAUACCGCAUACGUCCUACGGGAGAAAGCAGGGGACCUUCGGGCCUUGCGCUAAUAGAUGAGCCUAAGUCGGAUUAGCUAGUUGGUGGGGUAAAGGCCUACCAAGGCGACGAUCUGUAGCGGGUCUGAGAGGAUGAUCCGCCACACUGGGACUGAGACACGGCCCAGACUCCUACGGGAGGCAGCAGUGGGGAAUAUUGGACAAUGGGGGGAACCCUGAUCCAGCCAUGCCGCGUGUGUGAAGAAGGCCUUUUGGUUGUAAAGCACUUUAAGCGAGGAGGAGGCUACCGAGAUUAAUACUCUUGGAUAGUGGACGUUACUCGCAGAAUAAGCACCGGCUAACUCUGUGCCAGCAGCCGCGGUAAUACAGAGGGUGCAAGCGUUAAUCGGAUUUACUGGGCGUAAAGCGCGCGUAGGUGGCCAAUUAAGUCAAAUGUGAAAUCCCCGAGCUUAACUUGGGAAUUGCAUUCGAUACUGGUUGGCUAGAGUAUGGGAGAGGAUGGUAGAAUUCCAGGUGUAGCGGUGAAAUGCGUAGAGAUCUGGAGGAAUACCGAUGGCGAAGGCAGCCAUCUGGCCUAAUACUGACACUGAGGUGCGAAAGCAUGGGGAGCAAACAGGAUUAGAUACCCUGGUAGUCCAUGCCGUAAACGAUGUCUACUAGCCGUUGGGGCCUUUGAGGCUUUAGUGGCGCAGCUAACGCGAUAAGUAGACCGCCUGGGGGAGUACGGUCGCAAGACUAAAACUCAAAUGAAUUGACGGGGGCCCGCACAAGCGGUGGAGCAUGUGGUUUAAUUCGAUGCAACGCGAAGAACCUUACCUGGUCUUGACAUAGUAAGAACUUUCCAGAAGAUGGAUUGGUGCCUUCGGGAACUUACAUACAAGGUGCUGCAU
rnacentral:rRNA from 1 species